UAUCCUGCUUUCUUCCGUAGUUACCCUGUACAGAGAACAUAGGCAACUAUAGUUAAUUGAAGACUUCUGGUUCAAUCGCUUGUUUGCAUGAAGGAAAGAUCAAACUGGCUGUGAGCCUUAUUAACUUCUUGCCUUAUUUAGCUGAAAUAUAAUUGUCUGAACACUGCCAGUCACACUCGAGUUCCCUAGGACUACUGUAGAGAUUUUUUAAAAAUAACUUUUUGUAAUGUUUCUUCAUCAAACUGGAUAGUCUGAACUCAUUAUUCUAGUAGGCAUUCCCCGGGGAGGGGAAAGCGAAAUAGCAUAAUAGAAUCUUAGAGUUGGAAGGGACCCAAGAGUCAUUUAGUCCAACCCCCUGCAAUGCAGGAAUCUCAGCUAUAGCAUCCAUGACAGAUGGCCAUCCAACCUCUGCUUAAAAACUUCCACCACCUCUUGUGGGAGUCUGUUCCACUGCUGAACAGCUCUUACUGUCAGAAAGUUUUUCCUGAAUGUUUAGUCAGUCAGAAUCUACUUUCUUGUGACUUGAAGCCCUUGGAGAGCCAGUGUGGUGUAGUGGUUAAGAGCGGUAGUCUCGUAAUCUGGGGAACUGGGUUCGCGUCUCCGCUCCUCCACAUGCAGCUGCUGGGUGACCUUGGGCCAGUCACACUUCUCUGAAGUCUCUCAGCCCCACUCACCUCACAGAGUGUUUGUUGUGGGGGAGGAAGGGAAAGGAGAAUGUUACCCGCUCCUUCGGGUAGUGAUAAAGCGGGAUAUCAAAUCCAAAGUCUCUCUUCUCUCUCUCUUGGUUCGAAUCCUGCCCUACAGAGCAGGAGAAAACAAGUGUGUUCCCUCUUCCAUGUGACAGCCCUUAAGAUAUUGUGAGACUGCAGUCAAGUGCAGAGCUAUUGGAGUUUGAGGACGGAAAUUAUUGGGUGUUGGAGAAGUGUUCUGUAAGUUCAGGGAAGGGGUACUGGGAUUUGUAUGAGAACCAAGCUGGUAAGAAGUAGAGUGGGUGAAGAUGGAUUGAUGAACGGAACAGAAGUGCAGGGCAAGGCUGUUUUAUCGAAAGGUUAUCACUGCCAUGUUAGCGAGUGGAUGGAUAUGGAUUUCGCUUAUAUUGUUAACCACCCACACAGUACAGUUCAAUAUCCCUCUCUGUUCCUGUUAGCAUUUGCUGGGGUCACCGCUGAACACACUUUUGAGCAGUUCCUCCUCUGUGCGAGCUGGAAACAUAUUUCUUUUCAGGGUUAUUCAAGCAUGCAUCCUUUUAUUCUUUCCCGUGAACAUAUUUAUUGUGACUACUGAAAAGUUAUCGUUCUCUAAAAUGUGUUAAGCCUUCCCCGCUGCCUCUCUCAGGGACAUACAGGUAUAGAAACUGUUGCUUCAAAAAGACGUUGCUUGGAAAUAUGGUUGCUGUUGCUUUUUUCUCUCCCUGGAAACCUUGUAGUGUUCUCGUUCUUUCCCAACAUUUCGUCGUCCCCCCCUUUUCUUUUUUGAAGAUUCGACAUUGCAACUUUUUGUCCUUGGCGAGGCCGAAAAAACAAAACAAAUGGUGGAGGGCCUUGAAAUGUUUACCCUCGUUGCUUUUAAAACGUUUUUUUAAAAAAUCAAAUAUAAACAACAAAUUAUAAACUGCAUUGUUUUUGUACACCUGUGGAGAUUUUUGUUUUAAAAAUGAGUUCCUUCUUACACAAACGAUGGUGUGUCCAUUUUCCACACCAGUGCUUUAAUCAUUUUUUGAGUAUUGUAAGAUGGCAUGGGCAAGAAAAUGCAAAUAGGCUGUAGAAAUGGAAAACGACAACAGCCCUGUGAUCUUAAAUAGCAAAUUUGUGCUAUUAGUAGUAAUUAGUAUUACAACCAAUUGAUUCUAUAUUCUUAUUAAUUAAGUUGAACAACACUUUAUAUUCAUUUACAAAUUACGUUCAUGUAAUACAGGGUGUCUUGUUGUUAUUAUUGAGGUCAGGUCACCUGAAUUUAGCACAGUUAAAAUAUCACUAGCUCUUUGUAUUAGUUUUGUAUUAGUUUUAGUGCUUUAGUACUGCCUGAUUCUUUGAUUCAGUAAAUCACUGUGAAUAAACAAUCAUUUGUUAAUGUGAGAACAUAAAAAAAUUGCAUUGUGUACUUCUCAUCAUAAUGAGCCCCCAGUUCUGUUUAUUAUUGUAGAAUUCUGUUUUGUUUCUAUUCUUGUUAAAGGCGAAUGGCUCUGUCCAGAAUUUCCAUGUUGUAGAAUAUCCCUAUGGAGAUGGUGUACAGCAUGUGCCUCAUUUUUAUAUAUAUAUAUAUACAGCUAAUAAGAUCCUAAAUGUGCAUUCUGGCUUCUUGGAGACAUAUUGUAAAAAUAAACUAUCCAAAUGACUGCUUUGCCGAGUGCUUGUGUAGAAGUGUGGAAACAAAGUAAUAAAUUCCCUUUCCACACCUGAAAAUUAAUAUUGACAGAUAGCAUUACAAAGGUAAAUGGCAAAUAUCAAAACAAACAAACAAUUGCAUAGCAGGAUUGGUAUUUCUUUCCUUUUGCUGUUCAGUAUACCAUUUCCUUGCAAAUUACACUAAAGCUGAACAUUUGCAAAAUCACCUUGGUACAGGAUUUGUCCUUUCAACCUAUUCCCAUAGCUGCACCUUCCAGCCCCAAUUGCUGUCUUGCUUCUUAGUUCUUGCUGUCUUUUUAUACUUUCUUUGGUAUAUUUGGUUCAUAAAAUCACAGCCAGAAGUGCAAGCGUUAUUAUAAUAAAACAAGUCAUGCCUACCUUACAUUUUGUGUCAUCACCUAGGAUAUUGUGUGCUCAGUAUUAUCACUUGUACCAUAAGAAGGAAAUUAGAGCAUGUAUUUUCCACAUGGAGAAAUCAAAUGUAAUCUAAAUGCAAACCACGAGUUUUAUUGCAUGGCAGCCUUUGAUAGCAGCACUGCUAUUACUAAUUCCACUAUGACAAGAGUACAUUGUAGUCCAGAAGUUUCCAACACUGUUUUUUGUUUUUGUUUUUUUAUUGCUUGGUUUUGGUGGUUUUUGUGUGUUUGUUUGUUUGUUUGUUUGUUUGCCUUUUAGCUUUGCAAAAUCAACAGAAUUUGGUCCUAAUAAGUCAAAGAGUAUUUGGCAAUCAUUUGCUCAAAAAGCAUCAGCAUUGUAGCCCAAUGCCGUGAAAAGUAGGCAAGAAGACUAAAUUAUUUGGUACCAUAGUAACUGACCAAAAGGCAUGAGAGCUUUUAUGUCAAUUAAGGUCUGGUGUCCUGCCAACAUGAGAUGAUAUUCUUAAAUAGAUUACUUACUUCAUUUCCAAGUUUUCCUCCAUACUGUGGCUCAAUUAAACUAAAUAUAUCAGUGUGGCGUAAUGACCAAUUAAUGUAUUGUCAUGUGUUUGUGAGAUACACACAGAGAAAGACAGAGAAAGCGCUUUUAUGGAUGUCUUCUUUUAUGCAAAAACAGAAGAUAAUUGUUGUUGUAAAUUACUGCUGAAUAAUUAACAUAAGAGGUCUCUGGUAUUGCUUCCCCUGUCCUGUUUUAGAAGAGGUAGCUAAUCAAUGUUAGUGUAUUUCAUAAGGUUGUACAAUUUUUUGUGAGCAUUAUCUCAAAAUACGAAACACCUGUAGACUCUACCUCUUGACAAAUUCAUUAGUCCGACGCAAUUCAUUGGUAUAGUUUUUUUCCCUGCAGAUGUUUGAUUUUAUUUACUUAUUCAUAAAAGUCUUUAUAGGCUUCCUUUUUCGGACAUGGCUGGCUCACAGAAGUGUCUUGCACAUUAUAAAAACACAGUGCAGAUUAAAAUGACCAAGUUAGCAGUAUUAACAAUAAUUUAAAAACAUUGUUAAAUAGAUAAGACAAUAUAAAUAUCAGCAGUUUAAAAAAAAAAUCACCAAAGAAGGAAAUAAAUCAUGUCACAAAUGAGGCUGGUUUGGGUGGGAGUAUUGCUCACAGGCAGUAGCCUCUGAUCUUGGGACAACAGGACCCAGAAAGAAUGGAUCUCCAAGAAUUUCGGACCAUCAUUCUUUUCUCUUUGCUUCUUUCCCAUCCUCCCUCUGUGACUGGCAGUUUCAUUCCACCUCUCUUUUUAGCUUUGUAGAUUCCACUGACUCCACUGCAGCUAUUUCAUGCACAAAAGGGAACAAAAAUGCUCCAAAUAAUUAGGGCCUUCCUUCAGUUCAGAUCCAGCAUCAGCACCUAUUGUCUUGUGGAAGAUUCUGGAGCCUCAGGGCUCAAGAAAGGUCCAUAGCUUACUACUGCUGUGGCAAUUUCUGGUUGCCAUCUUGGUUUUCCUUCCCCCUUUUUUUUAUGACAAUUUAUUAAUUUUUC
rnacentral:lncRNA from 1 species